ACCCCUGGCUCCUCCAUGUGCUCUCUCUCUCUCUCCGCGCCCUCUCUUCUCAGAGGAAGUGGCUGCUCCUCAUCAGUCAUGGCAUCCAGUGUCCUGGUGUGUUUUCUCUGUGUGACUUUCAGUUAGAAGUGUAAGAAAAUGGGGUCCCUUCUUCCCCCAACCCCCGAAUCCUCCCUCCCCAACGGAUAGAGACAGCGAGAGAGAGAAUGAGAGCAACUGUAACAAAGAUGGCUGGACAUGGCAGCAGCUUCAGACUCGAUGUCGUAGCGGUGCUCGUUCUGGUGGCGCUUCUGACGGUGGCGGCGGAGACAGACCCGUCCGACGCGGCGGCCAUGCGGGACCUCGCCAAGUCCAUCGACGCCGCAGGCUCCCUCGGCUGGACACCGUCCACGGACCCUUGCAGCUGGAAACUCGUCACCUGCGACCCCAGUGGCCGCGUCACCGCCCUCAAUCUGGGUAAGCAGAAGCUGAGUGGCUCUCUGCCGGCGUCUGUCCGGAACCUGACGGCGCUCAUGACGCUAGCGCUCCAGAGCAACGCUAUCGGCGGGCCGCUGCCGAGCCUCGCCGGAAUGAGCUCCCUCCAAGUGGUCUACCUCCAUGACAACAACUUCUCCUCCGUCCCGCCGGAUUUCUUUGACGGGCUGACCUCUCUUCAGGCAAUCUACCUCGACUACAACCCUUUUGCCCCCUGGUCACUGCCGCCGAGCCUCCAAGGGGUAGCCUCCCUCGUCAACUUCUCUGCCAACAACGCCAAUGUCAAUGGCUCCAUUCCCUCUUUCUUCGGCUCCUUCCCGAGCCUUGCCUCCAUCCGCCUUGCCUUCAACUCGCUCUCCGGCGGCAUACCUUCGAGUCUCGCCGGCUCGACGCUGCAGGUGCUUUGGCUGAACAACCAGCAGGGGUCGAAGCUGACCGGCCAGAUCGACGUCCUCGCCAACAUGACCGGGCUCGUCCAGGUGUGGCUCCAGUCGAAUGCCUUCUCCGGCCCUAUUCCAGACCUGUCCCCCCUGAAAUCGCUCUCCGAGCUUGACCUCAGGGACAAUUCCCUCACCGGGCCGGUUCCCCCCUCGCUUGCCUCACUUCCGGAACUCAAGACCCUCGUUAUCACCAACAACCUGUUGCAAGGGAGCGUCCCGACAUUCGGGAAGGGGGUGAAGGUCGAUAAUCUCCCAGGGUCGAACCGCUUCUGCCCUGGUGACUGUGACCCGAGGAUAGUCGUCCUCCUCUCGGUCGUCUCCGCUCUGGGUUACCCUGCCGUACUCGCCGAUAGCUGGAAGGGAAACGACCCCUGCGACGAAUGGCGAGGAAUCAGCUGCGACCCCAAGGGGAACAUCACCGUCGUCAACUUCCAGAAUCAAGGGUUUUCAGGCACCAUCUCGCCGGACUUCGCAAAGAUCCUGUCGUUGGAUAAGCUCCUGCUCGCCAACAAUAACCUGUCGGGCUCGAUCCCGCCCGAGAUCACCGCAUUGCCCGCAUUAACGACUCUGGAUGUGUCGAAUAAUUCACUCUCUGGCAAGAUCCCGGCGUUUUCCAAGAAUGUGCUUCUGGAAAUCAGCGGGAACCCUAUGCUCGGGAAGGAAGCUAGUCCCGGGAGCUCGCCACCGGCGUCCGUUUCGGGCACACCUGAGGCGCCGACUACGAUUUCCUCACGUGGUUCUGAAGGAGUUCAGAAAGACGGAAAGAGGUCGACGAUGUCUUCCGGAGUUGUCGUCGGCUCUGUGGUCGGCGGAGUGUGUGGUGUGUGCUUAAUUGGGCUGAUGGGGUUCUUUGUAUACGAGAAGAAGACGAAGGGCUUCAAAAGGGUACAGAGCCCCAACACUGUGGUGAUACAUCCACGGCUUUCUGGGUCUGAUCCCGAUUUGUUGAAGAUCACGGUUGCCGGUGCCGGCGGAAGCAGUGCUGCUACGGCAGAUACGGCACAUAGCCAAGGAAGCAGUGGGAGAGGCGACAUUCAUGUGGUCGAGGCCGGAAACAUGGUGAUCUCAAUUCAGGUUCUGAGGAGCGUGACAAACAACUUCAGUGAGGAGAACAUCUUGGGUCAGGGCGGGUUCGGAACCGUCUACAAAGGGGAAUUGCACGAUGGAACGAAGAUUGCAGUGAAGAGAAUGGAAUCUGGAGUGAUAAGCACGAAGGGAUUGAACGAAUUUCAGUCGGAGAUCGCGGUUCUGACGAAGGUUCGCCACCGGCACCUCGUCGCACUGCUUGGGUAUUGCCUUGAUGGGAAUGAAAAGCUACUUGUAUACGAGUACAUGCCUCAGGGGCCACUCAGUCGGCAUCUUUUCAGUUGGAAGGAAGAAGGUAGGAAGCCAUUAGACUGGAAGAAGAGGCUGAGCAUAGCGUUGGAUGUGGCGAGAGGUGUCGAGUACCUGCACAGCUUGGCGCAUCAGAGUUUCAUCCACAGGGAUCUAAAGCCCUCCAAUAUCUUGCUUGGUGAUGAUAUGAGAGCAAAGGUCGCGGACUUCGGCCUGGUCCGGCUGGCCCCUGAGGGGAAGUGUUCUGUGGAGACAAGACUUGCAGGCACAUUCGGUUAUCUCGCGCCAGAGUAUGCAGUAACUGGGAGAUUAACAACCAAGGCAGAUGUUUUCAGCUUCGGUGUGAUUCUUAUGGAGCUAAUCAGUGGCAGGAGAGCUCUAGAUGAAAGCCAGCCUGAGGAAAGCAUGCACCUGGUAACGUGGUUCAGGAGAAUGUAUCUCAACAAGGAUGUCUUCCGAACUGCUAUAGACCCUUCAUUGGAACAGACGGAAGAGACACUCUCUAGCAUCUUAACCGUUGCAGAGCUUGCUGGUCAUUGCUGUGCCAGAGAGCCAUAUCAGAGGCCUGACAUGAGCCAUGCUGUUAAUGUGUUGUCUCCACUUGUAGAGCAAUGGAAGCCAACUGAUCCUGAUGCUGAUGACUGCUAUGGCAUCGACCUUGACAUGACUUUGCCUCAAGCUCUUAAGAAAUGGCAGGCCUUUGAAGAUUCACACAUGAGCGAUAAUUCUUAUUCUGCCUCCAUGGCUAGCCUGGAUAAUACUCAGACUAGCAUUCCAACUAGACCCUCUGGGUUUGCUGAUUCUUUCACUUCUGCCGAUGGCCGAUGAGAGAAGAACGGGAAAAAGGAUUACUCAAAAUGGAAAUGUUCUCCUUUUGAUUGCAACUCACAUGUUGUCUUGUUUAUUCUUAUCUGUUCCAUCUUCUGGCUUUCGGUGGUGGUGGUGGUGGUGGUUGUCACAGUGGUGGCAUCAAUGUUGGUGCAGCAUCCUGAUUAAAUGGACUAGGUGAUGCACAUGGUGCAAGCAUGGACUGUAUAGCAGCAACUGGUGAAGGAUGGGGCCAGCAGCAGCUCAAGGUCCCUGGCAUGAUUGGACGCAUUAGUACUUGUUUCUUUCAAGAAAAGAUAUACAGUUUAAAUCCACUAGCUGUUCCUUUGUCGCAAUCCACGCAUUUCCUUCGGGAAAUGAAUGAUUAUGUUCUUAACGUUAGUUUCACCUGCAGAAGAAAAUUCACCUGCAGAAGAAAACCUAGAGCCCGUGAAUUCCAUAUCUGGUUUCUACGAUGCAAAAUGUUAUGACCGUUUGUGAUUCA